rfam:Clostridium sticklandii str. DSM 519 chromosome, complete genome.
GGUCAAGUUAGAAAGAGCGUAGGGUGAAUGCCUUGGCGCUGGGAGCCGAUGAAGGACGUGGUAAGCUGCGAUAAGCUUUGGGGAGGUGCAAGCAACCUUUGAUCCAGAGAUUUCCGAAUGGGGAAACCUGCUUGGGGUAAUGCUCAAGUAUCCAUACAUGAAUACAUAGUGUAUGGAGGGGAACCCGGGGAACUGAAACAUCUAAGUACCCGGAGGAAGAGAAAGAAAAUUCGAUUUCCUAAGUAGCGGCGAGCGAAAGGGAAACAGCCCAAACCUAGAUGGUUUACCAUUUAGGGGUUAGGACAGUCAACAAAUAAGAGGUAUCUUAGUCGAAAAGCUUUGGAAAAUGCUGCCGCAGAGGGUAAAAGCCCCGUAGACGAAAAGAGAAGACUUUAUGACUGCACCAGAGUACCACGAGACACGUGAAACCUUGUGGGAAUAUCGGGGGACCACCCCCGAAGGCUAAAUACUACCCAGCGACCGAUAGAGAAUAGUACCGUGAGGGAAAGGUGAAAAGAACCCCGGGAGGGGAGUGAAAUAGAACCUGAAACCCUAUGCUUACAAGCUGUAGGAGUCCUUUAUAUGGAUGACUGCGUACUUUUUGUAGAACGGGCCAACGAGUUGCAAUAUGUUGCAAGGUUAAGUAUUUAAGAUACGAAGCCGCAGCGAAAGCGAGUCUUAAAUGGGCGUUUUAGUUGCAUAUUGCAGACCCGAAACCAGGCGACCUACCCAUGGUCAGGAUGAAGUUUCCUUAACCGGAAAUGGAGGUCCGAACCCACGCACGUUGAAAAGUGCGGGGAUGAACUGUGGGUAGAGGUGAAAUUCCAAUCGAGCCUGGAGAUAGCUGGUUCUCUCCGAAAUAGCUUUAGGGCUAGCGUCAGAGUUUAGAUUGCAGGAGGUAGAGCACUGACUGUCCUAGGGGCCCUUUGGGUUACCGAAGACUAUCAAACUCCGAAUGCCUGUAUAUUAUAUCUGGCAGUCAGACUAUGAGUGAUAAGAUCCAUGGUCAAGAGGGCAACAGCCCAGACCGUCAGCUAAGGUCCCAAAAUGUGUGUUAAGUGGAAAAGGAUGUGGGAUUGCCCAGACAACCAGGAUGUUGGCUUAGAAGCAGCCAUUCAUUUAAAGAGUGCGUAAUAGCUCACUGGUCGAGUGGUCCCGCGCCGAAAAUUACCGGGGCUCAAACACACUACCGAAGCUACGGAUUCAUACUUAUGUAUGAGUGGUAGGAGAGCGUCGUAUACGGGCUGAAGCUGUACCGUAAGGAGCAGUGGACUGUAUACGAGUGAGAAUGUUGGCAUGAGUAGCGAGAUGGAUGUGAGAAUCAUCCAGGCCGAAAACCCAAGGUUUCCUGAGCAAGGUUCGUCCUCUCAGGGUUAGUCGGGACCUAAGCCAAGGCCGAAAGGCGUAGGUGAUGGACAACAGGUGUAGAUUCCUGUACCACCAAUUAUCGUUUGAGUGAUGGAGUGACACAGAAGGAUAGGCGAUCACACAGUUGGAUUUGUGUGUCCAAGCAUUGAGGAAGUAGCCGCAGGCAAAUCCGCGGUUACAAUUCUGGGAUGUGAUGGGGAGCGAAAUUUAGUAGCGAAGUCGUUGAUUUCACGCUGUCAGGAAAAGCUUCUAGCGAGAUAAAAGGUGCCCGUACCGCAAACCGACACAGGUGGGUGGGGAGAGAAUCCCAAGGCCAGCGAGAGAACUGUUGUUAAGGAACUCGGCAAAAUUACCCCGUAACUUAGGGAGAAGGGGUGCCUCAUUAGUGUUAACGCAUGAAGAGGCCGCAGAGAAUAGGCCCAAGCGACUGUUUACCAAAAACAUAGGUCUCUGCUAAACCGCAAGGUGAAGUAUAGGGGCUGACGCCUGCCCGGUGCUGGAAGGUUAAGGGGAUGUGUUAGAGCAAUCGAAGCACUGAACUUAAGCCCCAGUAAACGGCGGCCGUAACUAUAACGGUCCUAAGGUAGCGAAAUUCCUUGUCGGGUAAGUUCCGACCCGCACGAAAGGCGUAACGAUUUGGGCGCUGUCUCAACAACAGACUCGGUGAAAUUGUAAUUCCGGUGAAGAUGCCGGAUACCUGCGACAGGACGGAAAGACCCCAUGGAGCUUUACUGUAGCUUAGCAUUGGAUUUAGGUAGUAUAUGUACAGGAUAGGUGGGAGGCUUUGAAAGUAGGACGCCAGUUUUGCUGGAGCCAUCCUUGGGAUACCACCCUUGUACUAUCUGGAUUCUAACCACGAUGAGUGAAUCCUCAUCUGGGACACUGCUUGGCGGGCAGUUUGACUGGGGCGGUCGCCUCCCAAAAUGUAACGGAGGCGCUCAAAGGUUCCCUCAGCACGGUCGGAAAUCGUGCGUAGAGUGUAAAGGCAAAAGGGAGCUUGAUUGCGAGACAUACAGGUCGAGCAAGGACGAAAGUCGGACUUAGUGAUCCGGUGGUACCGCGUGGAAGGGCCAUCGCUCAACGGAUAAAAGCUACCCUGGGGAUAACAGGCUGAUCUCCCCCAAGAGUCCACAUCGACGGGGAGGUUUGGCACCUCGAUGUCGGCUCAUCACAUCCUGGGGCUGUAGUAGGUCCCAAGGGUUGGGCUGUUCGCCCAUUAAAGUGGUACGCGAGCUGGGUUCAGAACGUCGUGAGACAGUUCGGUCCCUAUCCGUCGCAGGCGUAGGAAAUUUGAGAGGAUCUGUCCUUAGUACGAGAGGACCGGGAUGGACGCACCUCUGGUGCACCAGUUGUCACGCCAGUGGCACAGCUGGAUAGCUACGUGCGGAAUGGAUAAGUGCUGAAGGCAUCUAAGCACGAAGCCAACCUCAAGAUAAGAUUUCCCUCCGCAAGGGUAAGACCCCAGGAAGACUACCUGGUUGAUAGGCUCUAGGUGUAAGUGCAGUAAUGUAUUGAGCUUAAGAGUACUAAUAGGUCGAGGACUUGACCUA